ensembl:lncRNA
AUGUCAGUGAGCUACAACAGGUUACAACUCAUUUCAGUGAGCUACAACCGGAUACAACUCAUUUCAGUGAGCUACAACAGGAUACAACUCAUUUCAGUGAGCUACAACAGGUUACAACUCAUUUCAGUGAGCUACAACCGGAUACAACUCAUUUCAGUGAGCUACAACAGGAUACAACUCAUUUCAGUGAGCUACAACAGGUUACAACUCAUUUCAGUGAGCUACAACCGGAUACAACUCAUUUCAGUGAGCUACAACAGGAUACAACUCAUUUCAGUGAGCUACAACCGGAUACAACUCAUUUCAGUGAGCUACAACAGGAUACAACUCAUUUCAGUGAGCUACAACAGGAUACAACUCAUUUCAGUGAGCUACAACCGGAUACAACUCAUUUCAGUGAGCUACAACAGGAUACAACUCAUUUCAGUGAGCUACAACCGGAUACAACUCAUUUCAGUGAGCUACAACAGGAUACAACUCAUUUCAGUGAGCUACAACAGGAUACAACUCAUUUCAGUGAGCUACAACAGGUUACAACUCAUUUCAGUGAGCUACAACAGGAUACAACUUAUUUCAGUGAGUUACAACAGGUUACAACUCAUUUCAGUGAGCUACAACCGGAUACAACUCAUUUCAGUGAGCUACAACAGGUUACAACUCAUUUCAGUGAGCUACAACAGGAUACAACUCAUUUCAGUGAGCUACAACCGGAUACAACUCAUUUCAGUGAGCUACAACAGGUUACAACUCAUUUCAGUGAGCUACAACAGGAAACAACUCAUUUCAGUGAGCUACAACCGGAUACAACUCAUUUCAGUGAGCUACAACAGGAUACAACUCAUUUCAGUGAGCUACAACAGGAUACAACUCAUUUCAGUGAGCUACAACAGGAUACAACUCAUUUCAGUGAGCUACAACCUUAUAGAGCUCAUUUCAGUGAGCUACAACCUUAUACAACUCAUUUCAGUGAGCUACAACUUUAUAGAGCUCAUUUCAGUGAGCUACAACCUUAUACAACUCAUUUCAGUGAGCUACAACCUUAUAGAGCUCAUUUCAGUGAGCUACAACAGGGUACAACUCAUUUCAGUGAGCUACAACAGGAUACAACUCAUUUCAGUGAGCUACAACAGGAAACAACUCAUUUCAGUGAGCUACAACCUUAUAGAGCUCAUUUCAGUGAGCUACAACAGGAUACAACUCAUUUCAGUGAGCUACAACCUUAUACAACUCAUUUCAGUGAGCUACAACAGGAAACAACUCAUUUCAGUGAGCUACAACAGGAUACAACUCAUUUCAGUGAGCUACAACAGGAUACAACUCAUUUCAGUGAGCUACAACCUUAUAGAGCUCAUUUCAGUGAGCUACAACCUUAUACAACUCAUUUCAGUGAGCUACAACUUUAUAGAGCUCAUUUCAGUGAGCUACAACCUUAUACAACUCAUUUCAGUGAGCUACAACCUUAUAGAGCUCAUUUCAGUGAGCUACAACAGGGUACAACUCAUUUCAGUGAGCUACAACAGGAUACAACUCAUUUCAGUGAGCUACAACAGGAAACAACUCAUUUCAGUGAGCUACAACCUUAUAGAGCUCAUUUCAGUGAGCUACAACAGGAUACAACUCAUUUCAGUGAGCUACAACAGGAAACAACUCAUUUCAGUGAGCUACAACAGGAUACAACUCAUUUCAGUGAGCUACAACAGGAUACAACUCAUUUCAGUGAGCUACAACAGGAUACAAAUCAUUUCAGUGAGCUACAACCUUAUAGAGCUCAUUUCAGUGAGCUACAACCAUAUACAACUAAUUUCAGUGAGCUACAACAGGAAACAACUCAUUUCAGUGAGCUACAACAGGAUACAACUCAUUUCAGUGAGCUACAACAGGAUACAACUCAUUUCAUCAAUCUGCUGCUAUACAGUAGUACAUGAUCCAAACUUAAGGUUGAUUUACUGUUGA